CUGAGAUGAGAGCAAUUAAUUGGAUAUCUCAAAUGGAGCAUCAUUGCUUUUGUUCCUGUUUCUACAAAUACUCUAGAGCUGUGUAUUUAACGCUUACCACUCUUCUGCAUUGGCAGAACAAAUGUAGACAAGUCCCUGGUGCAAGAAAUUAUUUUGGGCCCCCUGCUAGCGGAAGGGUAGCCAAAAGGUAGCCCCCUAUAUUUUGUACAACUCCCACCAUGCUAUGCCAACUGGGGAUCUACU